rnacentral:rRNA from 1 species
AACGAACGCUGGCGGCAGGCUUAACACAUGCAAGUCGAACGCUUCACCCUCGGGUGGAGAGUGGCAGACGGGUGAGUAACACGUGGGAACGUACCCUUUGGUUCGGAAUAACUCAGGGAAACUUGAGCUAAUACCGGAUACGCCCUUAUGGGGAAAGGUUUACUGCCGAAGGAUCGGCCCGCGUCCGAUUAGCUUGUUGGUGAGGUAAUGGCUCACCAAGGCAUCGAUCGGUAGCUGGUCUGAGAGGAUGGCCAGUCACAUUGGGACUGAGACACGGCCCAAACUCCUACGGGAGGCAGCAGUGGGGAAUAUUGGACAAUGGGCGCAAGCCUGAUCCAGCCAUGCCGCGUGAGUGAUGAAGGCCUUAGGGUUGUAAAGCUCUUUUACCUGGGAAGAUCAUGACGGUACCAGGAGAAUAAGCCCCGGCUAACUUCGUGCCA